rnacentral:lncRNA from 1 species
GGGGGUUCACAGGAAGAGGCUUUUAAAAUGAGAGAUCUACUCGACUUCGGCAGCGGCGACGGGAGAGAAAAACUCGAAAUGGAUCGAGUGAUGACUGGCCAUCCCACGGUAUUCCCGAAGCGAGAUCCUCGGGAAGGCGACGCAACUCGACACAAAUCAAAAAGCUACGGACAAGACCUACUUGGUUCGGGGGAAGCACUGCAAGGACGGCGCUUGACGAACGGACUCUGGCGACGGUCGACCACCCUCUCGCGCUCCCUCACUAUCUGGUUCUCUCCCCCUCACUCGCUUAAACCCUCCCCAGCUCUUCCAAUUUCUCUCCCUCUGUAGCUCGAAC